UCAAGAUUUUCCAAUCUGCUUUACAGAAAGAAAUCUUUCCCUUUUUCAACAAAAGAUCUCUUUUUUCCUUUCUCCCAAAAUUUCUCCCUCCCACGUGAAUUGCCAUUUUUAUUCCAACUUUCUCUUUCCUUUUUUAUGAUCUUGCUCUCUUUCCCAAUAGACAGAGAGUGCACUCAAUUUUUUCUUACUAUUUAGUAUUUGCCAUAGCAGAAAUUUGGUUAUUGCUUUAUUUAUUUUAAUCUAGUCUGCUUUUGUUCGAGAGGGAGGAGUAAAGUCGAGAUUGAAGUUCGAUAGUGCAUUAAGACACGCCUCAGUUCGCUGCCCUGCAAAAGUGGAGUCUCAUAGAGACUUAAUGCUACCACCGCCACAUGGAGUCGUUGCAUACCAUCUUCCUUAUCGGAUAGCGAGAAAAACAAGCUAAACAUUUGGGGACGUCUACGGCGCCUCUCAUUUCUUUUUUCCUUAUCAUUCAUGAUAUUUGACUUUUACUUGUGUGAUUUGAGUUUAUCUUCAAUUUCUGGGAUUACAUGUUAAAAUUUGUGUUAGCAUAGUAUGUUUCGUUAAUUA